rnacentral:RNase_P_RNA from 1 species
GAAGCCAGCCAGACCGUCGCUGCCCGCCGGUGAAAGCCAGUGCGGGGAGAGGAAAGUCCGGGCUCCGCAGAGCAGGAUGCUGGGUAACGCCCAGCCGCAAUAAGCCGAUCGCGCGAGCGGUCGACGAAGGCGAGGAACAGGGCCACAGAGACGAGUCGCCCCGGUCUGGCUUUACGCCAGGUCCGGAGCGGGUGAAACGCGGCAACCUCCAUCCGGAGCAACACCAAGUAAGCGGACGAAAAGAUUCAAUCCAAGGCUGCUCGCUUAGUCCGCGGGUAGGUGGCUCGAGCGUCGCGGCAACGCGACGCCUAGACGAAUGACGGCCAUAGGGUGUGCUUACAAGCGCGCCCCGUAACAGAACCCGGCUUAUCGGCUGACUUCGACU